rnacentral:rRNA from 1 species
UAAGGAGGGUGCAAGCGUUGUCCGGAUUUGUUGGGUUUAAAGGGUACGUAGGCGGGUCUUUAAGUCCGUGGUGAAAGCCUGCAGCUUAACUGCAGAACUGCCAUGGAUACUGGAGAUCUUGAAUUCAGUUGAGGUAAGCGGAAUUUAUGAUGUAGCGGUGAAAUGCAUAGAUAUCAUAAAGAACACCUAUUGCGAAGGCAGCUUGCUGGACUUGGAUUGACGCUAAGGUACGAAAGCGUGGGGAGCGAACAGG